GUCGUCGUUAAUUUCUCGUCGGAUCUCGUCUGAUGUCGUCUACUUAUCUUUGAUGUCUAGUGUGGGUUUGAUGGUGUCUUCUUCUUGGCCUGCCUUAUCUUAUUUAUCUCUGUUGUUAUGGUUUAUGGUGUCUGCUAGUGGGGGAAGAGAGCUACAUCUAUGAACUUUUUUACCAGAGUACCAGCAGUAAUAAAGUUAGCUUUUUUAACAAAAGAUUGUGUUUUCCCCUUCUUUUUAUCUUCGAUCGAACGGUUAAUUUUUUGCAAUUUUAUAGAUUUGCGUUCUGUAAUGACUGUGAAAGUUGAAAUUAGGGUUUGGAUGUUGAUUGAAUGAUCGAGUAUCGCACUUUUUAGGGAUUUCUAUGCGCCGAGUACUAUGGAGAUUGAAGUUAGGGUUUUUAGAUUUGGAUUUGGAUUCGUAGAUGAUUUGGUUUCGGAUUUGUGUUUGGGUUUUUCGCUUAAGAUUGUCUCUGGCUUCUCUCCCUCCUCUCUUUUCUUUAUGCGCAAAGAGCGAUUAGUUUUCUCGUUUCAGUCGUCAUUUCUCUUGGCGACUCUACUGUUGUUACUCGAGCCUCACUUAUCCAAUCUUCUUAUUUUUUUUAACAUUUCUUAUCUUUUUUUCUUUUUUUAAUGAUCAAGUUGGUGAGAAAGGACAAAGGAUAUAGACAUUAAUUUCCUCCACUUUGAUCCAAUCAAGGAGACACCAUGUGGAAAAGACAUGACUACUUCCUCUCAUUUUACAUUUUUUAAAAAAAAAUUAAUAGUAUUUGAUGGGAUUUACUCUAUUUUGGUAGAUUGUUUCUUGGUUUUUUGGUACAUCACCACUAGUGUACGGNNNNNNNNNNNNNNNNNNNNNNNNNNNNNNNNNNNNNNNNNNNNNNNNNNNNNNNNNNNNNNNNNNNNNNNNNNNNNNNNNNNNNNNNNNNNNNNNNNNNNNNNNNNNNNNNNNNNNNNNNNNNNNNNNNNNNNNNNNNNNNNNNNNNNNNNNNNNNNNNNNNNNNNNNNNNNNNNNNNNNNNNNNNNNNNNNNNNNNNNNNNNNNNNNNNNNNNNNNNNNNNNNNNNNNNNNNNNNNNNNNNNNNNNNNNNNNNNNNNNNNNNNNNNNNNNNNNNNNNNNNNNNNNNNNNNNNNNNNNNNNNNNNNNNNNNNNNNNNNNNNNNNNNNNNNNNNNNNNNNNNNNNNNNNNNNNNNNNNNNNNNNNNNNNNNNNNNNNNNNNNNNNNNNNNNNNNNNNNNNNNNAUUUGAUGGGAUUUACUCUAUUUUGGUAGAUGUUUCUUGGUUUUUUGACAUCACCACUAGUGUACGGCAUUUUUAAGUCAUGCAGACAGGGUUAUGCGGUGGAGUAAUCCAUGAUGGAGGAGCAACUAUUUUCUUUAAUCAGGAAAAAAAGUAAUUUUUUUCCCUUGACGUAUUUAUGAUAUUUUGGAAUUAUUUAUUUGCAUAAAAUGUAUAAUAUAGUUAGUUAGUGGGUAAUUAGUUUGGGUGCGAUUAUAUCUAUAUCUAUUCUCAUAAGGUUUGUCAGAUUAUUAACUGGUUAAUCCAUCUGGAUUAUCUGCAUCCGAUCCAUCUGAAGGCAUCUUUUCCAUAUGUUAAGCAUCGUAUUCUUACAAAAAAAAGUAGAAAAAAAGGGUACCCACAGUGACCUUGGAAGAUGUGGGCACGUCUUCAGAUAUUUUUGGGUACGAGGGCUCCUGGCCCGUGCUUUGUGCGACAAUGGGAAGGAGAAAAGUCGUGCAUGUGACAUUGGGUAGGGCCCGUGGGAGCCGCGGCCGGCCGAAAGGAUAGGGUUUGAACAGGUCCAUCUGACGCCAAAUUGAGUGCCAACAAUUGCAAAAAAAAAAAAAAAAAAAAGAAAGAUAAUUAGGUACCUGCCACCUCCGUGCCAACUUGCGAGUCUGUUCACGUUUUUGUUAUCGCUUUUGGUGACACAAUUUCUAUUUUCAUAUUCUGUAGCCGGUGGUGCGCCGCUCGAGGUUAUGUGGUGCUUUAAGUUUUUUACAUCUUACACUUUUAAAAAGUUUGGUCUAUGGAUUUGGUCGAUACUGUAAUCUUUUCAUUUACCUACUUGCUAAGAGAUCAAAUAAUUUCGGAUAAUGACUGGAGAGCAAAUUUUUUUUUUUUUGGAAACAUGCAAGUGGUAACGUGUCCUACAGAAAAAAUAAUUCAGCUCAAGAUAUACAACCCAUCAUUCUCGUUCCCGUUCUUUGAAAAUAUAAAAAAGAAAGCCCUCUUCUGCAUAGAUUCUAUAAUUCCAUCUGAGUAAUCUUUCUUUUUCGUGCUCAACCACCAAAAAAAUGAUUCCCACACUGAUCAUUUUCGUAACUAAAAGGAUGCUUUUAGUUCACCAUCGGAAUUAGAAUUGAAGACAAUUUUGAUUUGCCGCUAGAAUCAGAAUCAAAAUAUGGUUCGAAGGAAAAUAAAAUUCUUAUCAAGCGAAUAAAAGCCAUUCAUUCUCAUUCCUAUUCCAAAGCUUAAAUGCUCCCAACCAACAUGCCUUAAGUUGCUAAUAUAACUAUUUAGCAAAAUUCUGCACACAACUGGAACAGGAACUUACGAUCUAAUGAAAGAGAUUGAUUCCUCUUGAGCAAUUUGAGAUGCAAUAAAAGUAUGCCCUGCCUGAGUGACCACAUGAAAAUGUGAUAUAAAUGGGCAUUUUUGAAUUUAUGAACCAAAGUAUUUCACUACAACAGUCUAAUUUACAAACAACUAUGUACAAAGAAAUGCCUUGCAAAAUUGCCGAAAAGUUUAUUCACUGGCUGGCUAUACCGUACCCUCUGCAACGCUGAUCUACAAGGUUGCCUGCUUCUACGCCAAAACCGCAAAAAAAUUAACUUAUCUCAACUUCAACUCCAUGAAAGAAUAGAAUAAAGUACUGAAGGGAAUGACUGUAGCCGCUCUAUUUCCACCAGGUGCCAACGAGAAUAUGGUCCAUGUAGAUUUCUUUGAUACAAAAUCACUUGACAUAAUCUGGAGAAUCUGAACUUAGUAACAUAACAAAAUGGUCCUCUUCAACAUUCUUCAAUGUAUCAGCAGAUCCUCUAUUAAUGUACCAAGAUAUGGAAGCUGUGUCCAGUAAAGCGACAUGUUAGAUUAAAACAUGUAGACUGAGAAAUCAUAAUAUCUUUUUUAAAUAUUCAAAUAAGCAUUCCUGGAAUUAUGCCUCCAGCAGCCUAUACUACAAACAAUGAAUGAUGUGUUUAGUUUUAGCUAGUUAUUGUUGAAGAGGUACAAGCUUUUGGACACUGUUUAAUCAGAGCAUAUACAAGCUUUCUGAAACAUUGCAAGGAAGAUGAUGUAGAACUCGCAGCGGUUAACUGUUGCUCUCUAUGAACAAUUAAGUUGAGAGAUCUUGCGGCCAGGAGGGUGACAUGAAUUUUAGAGAUGCGUGAUGAACUGUGUCCAAGUGAUAAAAAAAGAUAUGACCAGAUCUGAAAGAGGUGUAGCAUUUAUGAAAAAUAGGAUUGCUGUCCAAUUAAGGCAUGCUUUUCUGAAGACUGACAAAGUAAAUACAAGGGAAUGUUCCAUCCAGACAAACAAAAUCCUAAGAAAGGCUAUGUUGAUACGAGUUUUAGUCAAAAAAAGAGAGAGGAGACCCAGAUUUGGAGCAAAUAGUCACUAUUUCAUAACUAAGAAGGUUGAAUGAGCAAUCUUUGAAAAACCAUAUCCAUAAUCCAAGAGAAGCACUCUCAAUGGUCUGGACAUGGUGGCUCCAUUUUGUGGUUAAAGGGGAAGAAAGGAAAAAGGUAGGGCAAGAGAGAUGACACAACGAAACCCUGAUCCUGGUCCUUCUAAAGAUUUUAAAUGCAGCAUUCAAAACUGGUUCCAUAAAAUCAGUUCCACAUAUUAAUGCUAUUUUACCUGCUGCAGGAGCCAUUUCCUGCUCUCUGGCUGUAUGCAAUAAGACUGUCCCGGAGAGAACUGUUAUAAACCCACACAAUUCAGAAGCUAUAUCGCUUACAUCUUGACCAGACCAAUCCUGUAGCCAUUGAGAAAAGGGUAAGAAACAAACCUUAGCCAAAGCAUUUCAAUACAUACGUACAUACAACAUUAGUCAAAACAUACCUUGAACAUUAUUGCACUUGCCACUAUCGUGAGAGUGGUGAACAUAACAUAGUAAAUUGGGGAGACAAUUGCUGUAUUGAAGGUAUCCAGUGCCUGAGGGAGGUAACAGGUAAAAUUCAUUAAAUUGUAAAGGAUGCUGAUACUUGCGCUGAUAAAACUGCAUAAACAAUCACUUGAUGAAUUGUAUACAACAAUUGCAAACCACAGGUAUGCCAUCUGACAUGCAAUGGAUGUAUUUUUGUCAAGCAUGCAUUCCAAGAACAUAAUGGAUCUAUUCCAUCUGAAACAGGGUGAUUCCUUUCCAUGGUAAGCUAUGCAGAAUCUGAUAAAGAAAGAUUGCCAAAAUAUUGUUAACAGCUCCUUUGAAGUGCAGUAGCACUACCUUUUUAGUAUGUACCACUUCAUUUCUUAACUGAUUAUUCCUUUAACCACAAGUCAGCAACAAAUAUAAUUAUGAGUAAUCCUUCUUUUGGGAAGAAGAGAUAUCGCCUCUCUGUCCCUGUAUCAUCCUUGUGGUUUGUGAUGGAGCCCAGCAUUUAUAAAUAGAUUUAAUGCAUGUUAAUUGUUUUUGUUGGAACAAAAAAAGUGGAGCCAAAACUCUACUUUCAAAAUUUAACCAACAAAAUUGAAGAUUUAUGUACAUGAAGAUACAUGAGCUCAAUUACGUCAUGGAAAGUUAAAAUUAAUUAUCUUAAGGACAAGUGGCAUUCCACGUUCUGGACCAGAAGUGUCAGUCAAACCAACAUAUGCAUCAAAAGGGAUUCUGAUAUGCAGAAUGUAUGGUCAGAGGAUUAAUACCCUAGGGCAAUGAACUAGUGUGAACUCAUUAAAGCUACAAAGUUCAUACAGCUCUGGCAAUUGCCCUCAGCAGCACAGCAUGUGGCAUGAGAGCUUAUGUAGAACUCUUGAAAUACUUUAAUCAAAUGUACAAUGCACCCAGCCUUACAUGCUUCCUCAUGCAGGCAUAUUUGUUGAAAACAACCGGAUGGAAGAAACAGUACGAUGCACAAAAUAGCUUCAAGAUUUUUAGCUAUGGAGAGAUGCUGAUAUUUAGUAAUUAAUCGAAUGCCAUUUGAUGGUAAAACGUGCCACGGUGAUGUUCUGCAAUCAUUUUAUAAAGGCACAGAAAGAAUUUUAAUUAAAGGGACAGAGAGAGACAGAGAGGGAAAAUUUGUUGAACAAUGCCAACUAGUCACACAGGUAACAAUGAUGAGCAUUAAAGAGAAAAUAUGCAGAAAAAAAGGAAGGUGAAAUUUAAGAUUGUAUUUCUCAGGACAAAGUAAGAAUUCAUAAUACAGGACAAGGUAUCAUUCGCCGAACCAUCCCGAAUCGGACGGUUUAGGCCGUGCCGAACCAUACCGGCAAGAUACCAAACCAUACCAGCAAGAUACCGAUCCAGUUCCAAAAAAUAGCACAGCAGCCAUCUCGGAGGGAGGGAAAAGAAAGAGAAAGAGAGAGAGAGAGGGAGAGAAGAGAAAGAGGAAGAGAGGGCCUCCGACCGCUGUCGGAGCUCUUUCCGAGCUCGAUAAGGACGAAGGGAGGAAAGAAGAAAGGAUGAGACCUCACCAGAGCACUAAAGGCCCUCAAAGGCCUUGGACGGAUGGCAAUGCCACCGCGAGCUCUUUGAUGGCCGGCGAGCCAGCACCGAGAGAGCGGAGUUCAGCCGAGGUCAGAGGAGGGUUUACCCUUGUUUCUUUUCUUUUUUUUUUUUGAGUUUUAACGGGCAAAGGGGGCAACUGUGUUGCCGACUUUAUUCUUUUUUUUUUUUUAAUUCAGCUGAAGUGGGCCAAUGGACUUCACCUUAUUUUUAAUGCAGUUGCCAACAUCGUCCGCUAAAAAUAAAAAAAAAAAAAUCAAAACAUGGGCGAAUCCCUAUUUCAAACUGGAAGGCGAAGGCCCUCCUCCAGCCUCAGCCACCCUCCGUUUUCUUGGCGCUGGCUCGCCAGCCGUCGGAGAGCUCGCGGCGACAUCGCCGCCCGUCCGAAGGCCUCCAAUAAUUCGGUGAGGUCUCCCUCUCUCUCUUUUUCCCUCCCUCCACCCUUAUCAAGCUCGAAAAUGGCUCCGACGGCCUCCAACGGCUGUCGAAGGCUCUCUCUUCCUCUCUCCCCCCUCUCCCUCUUCUUCUCCCCCUUUCUCUUCCUCUCUUUCUUCUCCCUCUCCCCUUCUCUCCCCUGUUAGUUUGUGCCAGUCCGGUCCGGUACGGACCUGUAUCGAUUCAUACCGCCGACCAACCGGCACGGGUCCCGAUUCCGGCUCCGGGAACCUUGGGACAAGGAAAUAAAAAGAAAUUAAGGGGCUUCAGAAGUAGCAUAGACAAGACAUUAGAAAUGAUACUAAGCCAUGCAGAAUAAAGGUCUGAUGGGGCAUAACAUAUUUUGAUGGAAAGAAUUAAAAAAAAAAUGAAUAGAUCAAAGAGGAAAUUGUGCAAGCUGUACACAUAGAGGUGAAGUUUUAAAAUAAAUGCCAAUCCAAUGUAAUGCGAUGGCACUUAUUAAUCAAGGACAUUAAGAACAAAUAAGAUAUGGAUUGAAGUAGUUAUAUAUCUGGAAAGACCAAGAAGUAGCAGUAUCAAUGAGAAUAGAGUGAUCAUGAAUUGAUUUUUAAAUACAUUUGGAGAUACCAAGGAAUUCAUGUGUCACAAUUACCAAAGAAGGAAAAGUAGUAGGAAAAAGUGCGAGUAAAAAUUUAUUUCCAAUCAGAAAGGAAUUAGGAACUAAUUUACAAAAUGAAAAAUUGGUUUCUGUUUAAAAGAAAAGAGGAAAAGGUAGGAUAGGAAUCAUAAAUAUAUUUCUAUUUGCCUCAUAAUAAAUCAUACUUAUACCAAAUGAAAAUAGGCGGUGACUUAGAUAAAUGUAAAGGAAGUUGAAGUUUGAAAAUGCAAAUAAAUACGAAACAUAGAGUGAUGUAUAAGUCAAAACAUAACUGAUAUAUCAGUCUCAUGACCAGAUAAAUCCGAUGGGCUGGUGCUGAGUUGGGAACCAUUUAUGAAGGAGCUCAAGUAAGGGAAUAUAUCAUGAUUCAAUUUAAAUAUAUCAUGUGUGUGUGCAUAUGUGAAUCCGUAAAUGCGUGCAAGUGUUUGCAUGUCUGCUGUAAGUGAAAGGUAUAGAACUGAAAGUUAUGAACAUUACAAGUCACCCGUAACAGCUAAAAAGAUGCACGGAUGCACACACAUGUAUGCAUGCAUGUAUGUAUACGCUUAGCUUUAAGCUUAUUUAAUUUCAUCUUUUCAAUGAGGAUGGCCUUAACACCAUGAGAAGUUCAAAUAAGAAAUAUAAGAACAAGAUUUUUAUCCAUUCUAAUAUGACAGUCCAAUUGCACAUGUGGAUAUGACGUCAAAUUUAGCAAUUCUUGUCAGAGAAAUGAUUUGACUACUUUUAUAAUUGAAAUCACAACCAUAUAUAGGAAGGUUAGAGCCUGGCAAAAAAACUAAUAUCUCCUGCAGCUUGCUGCUCUUCUCAUAAUUGUAAAUUGAUUUCUACCAAGAGGAAAUUGCAUAUCUCAUAUCAAACAAGGAUAAUGAAAACUCAAGAAAGUUGUAGACUUUAGUUCUAAAUGCUGUUAAUUCUCGGGUUCAAGAUAUUUUUAUCGCUUUCAAGAGAAGGUGGCCCUACAAACAAUUUUGAUAGGUCAGCACUUGUUGAAUGGACAUCUCUAAUCUCAAACCCAGACAAGGCACUUCAAACUAAAUGGAUCAAAGCCACCUCUUCAUGUUGUGGAACUUAAUUGUGAAGGUGGAUGUAGAGGUAGCGUGUGUCUGGUGAUGGCAGUGUUAUAAGGGACACCACAGGCAGAUUAAUUUUUACAUCCUUUCAUGGGUUCGAAUCCAAUGUUUUUAGUGAAAUGAGUGUCCUUCUCUUGAUGUUUGAAACUUUGAACCCAAGGAGGCUUCUCUUCUAUCAUUUUGGAAUCUAAUACUCAAAUACUGGUUGAUGUUCUGUAUCAUAUUCCCUCGAAGCUUUGCUAACUGGUUCAGAAAUUCAGGUUGCUGACAUAAAAUCUAUAUGGUGGUUCAAUGUAUUUAAAGAACGCAAUUUGGCUAAGGAUGGCAAAUAUAGCUUGUGAUAUCCAAGAAAUUCGUGUUCUCAGAUCGUUAGCCCACUUCCAGCUGUCACAAAAUGUUCUCUAACACUGGAUCAGAUGGGCUUUCAGUAACCUAGGUUCAUGUUUGUUAAGAUCUCCCUCUAGUAACCUAAUGGGCUUUCUUUGCUUUCGUUAUAUUUAUUUUUUUCUUCUUUUUAACCCUCUUUUUAUUUAAAUAGUCCAUGCUAAACACUCACCCAGGACAUGGUUAUUUUACUAAAAAAGAAAAAAAGAUAAGAGUAUAAACCAGAUAUAGAGAGAUAGCUGCAGGUAAAACUGAUUUCAGCCAUGAGUAUAUAUAAAGCAGAUCAUAGAAAAAAAAAAAGGAGAAACAAGAACUAAAGCAUGUACAAAGUAAUAAUACUUUAUGGUAUCAUGUAGAGCCUUCCAUGCUAAAACAAAUUAAUUUUGAAAAUAAAAGUCUACAAAUAUCACCCUUAACUGAAUUUCAUUAAUAAAUUACCAUCAUCUGGCAUGAUAUAAAGCAACCAUAAGUAGUCAUAUUAUAUACUGCAAACCUGGUUCAAUCAAGUAACCAGAGACAACCUCUGCAAAUAUGAACAGAAUAAGAUAAAUAAAAAAAAAUAAAUCAAAGGUAACCACCUACAGAGACGUUAGAUAUAGGCAUAAUUAGAAAAUGGUUCCGCACAUAAAGCUUGGAAAGUAAUAAUCAUAUAAAAAUAAAAAUACACAUUAAGAUUGUCAACAAGCAAGUCUUAUGAGUGUUUUCCUUUCAAGUUGGUAUAAGAACAUAAUAACAACCUCAUAUGGACUUGAUAGAUAAUGUAAAUUUUGUGAAAAUUCAAUUGCAAUGGCAGUCUGGAGGAUUGCAGGUUAAAAUGACUAUAGUAGGAUAAAAUAUCAAGAAAAAGUUCUUAUCAGGAAAAAGGCCUGUAGGCCAUGGCUUAUCUUUUUAACUAAUGGAGACAUCAAAUAUGAAUAACAAGAUCCAACAAAAUGCAUAUUGUAGAAACCUUGUUCAAGUAAUUCAAUUGAGCGAUGACACAAACGACAGCAACUGUGACAAAUAGCCAUGUCUGUGGAUAAGCAAUCUGACUCAUUCCCUCCAAUGUAAGUUUUAUUGCAAUUCCAAUGGCCUUGAUGCUAACAACCUGUGCACCCCCAUUAAGCAAAAAGAAAUGGAGCUUGAGAAUGGAACAAGAUAAGAAGAAAGUUUUUACCACAGUUAUGAGUGCCAAAAAUUCUGAUAACUGAGUGCAUGUGAUUCACAAUAACCAGCUCAAGGAAAAACAAUUUACCGUCAGUGAGCCCAUUAGAGAGCAGAUGCCAAGGUAAACCAAUAUGUUGGUCUGUCCAUAACGAGGUUCAAAGUGUAGUACUAAUGCCAAUACAAUUGAUAAUGUAGCUCCAGAGUAAACUAAAAAUGCUGCAAACAGGACAAAUGCAAGAAAAGAAAUUAAUUAUAAUGCAGAACUGCCUGGGUAUUUGACAAACAGUAUAGUGAAGACAAAAGAGAACAACAAUUGUCUGCGAUACCAGGUUGAGUAGCUAGAUUCCAAAUUUCUUCUACAGAACUCGGAGAAUGCUCCUGAGGUGCGUGAAUUAUGAUAACAACUGAGCCAACGAUACAGGACACACACCCCAAAACACCUAGUUUCUGUAAUCGUUCUUUCAGCAUGAAGUGUGCCAAAACAGCACUAUUUGGUCCAUCAAAAACAUAAAUUCUCAAAAUCAGUAGACCCAAUUAGAUAUAUUAAGCACAGAAAACUGUUUUCUUAGUUUUACCUGACAAUAAUACUCAAUGCACCAAGAGGAGUUACAAGAACUGCAGGGGCAAAAACAUAAGCCACAAAAUUUGCCACCUCACCUAUCAUCACUGGUUGUAAAGAAACUUGACUUUCAGAUAAAGAAAUUUUGCCCCUCUAACCACCAUUAAUAUUGUUUUUGGAAAAAAAAAAAGCAUGUGAAUAUAAUAAUUUUGUGACUCAAAAUCUACAAAUAGCUUACUUGUUAGCAUGCCAGCCCACCACAAAGGCUCUAAUAGGUAUGCAUACCCUCCAAAACCUACGGUAUAAAAGGAAUAAGGCAAUAACCAGAAAACAAAGUUAAAAAUGCAUAGGAAAGAAGUGAAGUCUUCCGAGUAUAAUCACAUAGAAGAUCAGAAGAUCUUGAAAAUCAGUAAGUUCCUAGAUGGAAAUAACCCAACGUAUUGCUUUUUUUUUUUUUUUAUGUUUCAAAGUUCAUGAUAAUUCUAAGCCAAAGAAAGUAAAUAAAAGACAACAAAUGAAAAAAGAAUAUCAAUUUGGUAUUUUCCACCAACAAAUGAUGUUUACCUAGUAAAAUUUGCUUACUCCUGCAACACCUAAACAAUAAGAUGGAAACAAAGAUAUGGCAGUUUUUCUCUGACUCCAAACCGAAAUUUGAAGCUUAUUAAGAACACAUAAGGCGAUUGUAUCCUCACACCAUCUCAACCUCAUGAAAGAAUGGAAGCCACAAUGAAAGAAAAUAAGAAUUGAAAGUUUCCAACUUGAAAAGCAAGUGGGGAAUGGUUUAGGAUGACACACACAAUAAGUAGUUAAGAAUCAGCUUCGCCAUUCAGGCACUGACCUUUCCACAGAAAAAAUAAGUUUCAAAUAGGAUGAGAAUUUGGCAGUCACAAAGAAUGUAUAAAGUUCCAACAACAAGAAAUCAAUAAAUUCCAAGUUAUCAUAUACAACAACUAAAGCCUACCCAGUUAAGAAACUUUUCUUACGAGAGAAUAUGAUCUGUAACUGGUUUCAUGUUGAGGAAAAAAAACAAAUAUAGUUUUGAUUACUUUCAAAAUUUCAGUUUCUAAAGUGCUUGUAACAUACGCCACCUUGAAUAUUUCAUUUUUAUGUGAAUAUCUUAUGUCAUGGACUAUUUCCCUUUAGGACUGUGGCACAUAAGAAUUGGAAGAUAAACCACAGCCUAGGUGCCUUGCACUCCUAACUCUUUGUCCCUUUUUUUCCUGUUCAUCUUUCUUUUCUUCUUCCACCUAUUACGUAAACCAAAGAUAAAGCUUGCCCAGCUAUACAUGCAUAAGUUAAAGUUUGGAAGGUGCUUGAUGUUACUAGGAUCAAUUUUCUUGAACACCUUCUUUAUCAUGACACCCUGUCCUUUUCCUUUUUCUAAUUUUCCAUUUUCUAAUGUUGAUAGGAUCCACUUUCUUAACAUUUCUUCUUCAGCUAAAUCUUUGCCUUUUCCCUUAAAUUUUGCAAAAGAGAGAAAAAAUGGGCAGUAAUAUCUAUGGAACAUAAAGUGGGUGACAUCCUAUAAAGUAAAAAGAUAUUUAUGAGAAUGGUUUUGGCUUGUCACUAAGGCAAAAGAUGAAUUAUGGGGCAUGGCAUAAUUUAAAAGGAAAAAGAAAAAGAAAAUCAAGAUCAUGGGAUCUCUCCACAAACAUAUUGCCCGAUACACAGACUCCAGAUAGAGACUAAAAAAAUGCAUUGAUCUUUUCUAAUGAGAUUUGCUUGAAAGCAUGGAAUGAAAAGAAUGGAGAUAAGUUUGCCCUUCAUCAAUAGCCAUUUAAAGUUCAUUCUUUUCAUCAAUUACCAGCAUUUUACAUCUUGUAAUAUUAAGAGUUGAGCACAUUCAUAGCAUUUAAGAGGAGGUAUUAACUAUCAUGAUUCUCAUCAGUUUCAAAUAUUUUGUUAUUACUUUUCUUAAUUUCUCUUAUUCUCUCCCUGCCGGAGCAAGGCUUAAAACAAGAGUAUUUAUUAAAGAUGAGAAUGUCUAUACAGUUAUGCAGAUUUGAGACAUGUGGAGGUACCUUUUUGUUGGAGGAUCAGUGGGAACAGAGGCUGGAAGUAUGGAGUCAAGGAGUCAAUAUUUCAACAAGAGAAUAUGUGCUACGAUACUAGACACAAUUAUAAAAUGUUUGUAACCUUGUUAAAAAAGAGAUGAGGGGAAGAGAAGGGAGGCAAUGACAAAUUCAAAGAUACAUGCAGAUAAAAGUUGAUGGUUAUAGAUAAGCACUUAAGACAGUGUUUGUUUCUCCAUUAUUAGAUCAUUCUAGCUCCAAAUCUUGAAGAUGCUUGAGUAUGUGAGGCAUUAAUCAAACAGACAUUACCGUGAAUCAUGAUAUGUGUUUGAUGAUGAUAGAAUUACUACAUUGAAAUAUCAAGGUUUCCAUAUCCAAAUCGCUAGCCACUUAGUUAAAAUAUGUUUGAGGACAACAAAGCAACACCAUCAAAAUAUCAAAUUACUAGCCACUUAGUUAAAAUCAGGAUUACUGCACUAGUGUUUGGUAUUACAUUAAGAAGAGUAGCUAAAACGAAAACCUCAAACAUUGCAGGACUGAAUUGAUGAUAGUCAUUAGCUACAAAGAAUUAAAAUCGUUUCCAAGGACUUCUAAUCUCCAGAGUCAUGUCCCUUUGCAAGAUUAGUCUCAAAUCUCCACAAACAUCUGGAUUUUUUAUAUUAAAUAUUAAGAGAACAGGGAAAUCAAUGUAUGAAUUUUAGAUUAUAUUCCAAGCUCUACGGAUUUCUUCCAAGAGCAAAAUUAAAUAUGAUGAACGAUAAGCCACCAAGGAAGCUGGAAAACUGUAUUGUAAUACUUAAUGAGCAUGAAACACAUCAAGAUUAGUAUUUUUUUUUUUUUCUUGCCCCAUUGAAUAUAUCCAUCUCUCCCCAAAUCAAGAAAAGAGGAACACAAGAUCUAGGGUUUCUGACCAGCAGGGAUGCCGAAUCUGCCGGCGCGCUUGAGCCCCUUCUUCUUCAAAAUGAAACUGGCGCCGAUGAACGCACCCGACACCGCGGCCAAGAUCAGCCCUUUAGUGUUGUCCGACACCCGUGCGAUCGACUCCAUGCCCCUCCCCUUCUUUACCUUCUAUCCCGCUUCUAAUCUCUCCCUAUCUUUCUCCUGAUCUGUUCUCUUCGCCUUUUCCAGAUACACACAUAGAGAGAGACAGAGAGAGAGAGAGAGAGAGAGAGAGAGGAAGNNNNNNNNNNNNNNNNNNNNAGAGAGAGAGAGGGGGGGCAAAAAAGGACGGGCAAGGAGAGGCGGAGGACGCGCGAGGGAGGGAUGGCGGCGUUUAGCGUGACCGGCGGUCUCAAGUCCGGUUUCCUUCUGGUUGCGUCCACGUAACGGUUAGAAGAGAACCACGUCGCAGCCCAGCUAUCGUACCAAACCACUGAACCGCUACAGUUCCAUCGUAUAUCUUAGCGGCCCCACGAGAGGAUUCAGUCGUCUCAUGCCAUAUGACAUGGAUCUCGUUUGGUGUUACAAUUGGGCUUCAAGGAGAAGGCAUUUGGUGAUGGAAACGGAGAAGGGAACGGCUAUUGAACAGUUGCGCUGGAUCUGUCGCGAAAAGUGGGUGCACUCGCGACGAAGGAUGCAACAGCCCCGCCGGCUGGUGGGGCCGCAACCGGAGCAUUGUUUCCAACCGCAAGCGCUCGUUAAGUCUGGGACACCGGAUACGUGACAGCGUGGUUUAAAAUAAUGAUGUUAUAAUAUUGAGUUUAGAAGGACGGCAUCAUAACUGUUAUAAUGUCCAUAUAAUGAUUUCGGUUGCCUUAAUGAUGUUAUAUAGUUAUUGAGAUAGGAAACAUGAAAAAUAUAAUGAUCUUUUAUUUUCUAUCAUAAUGAAUCAUUACAAUGUAAAUAACGGUCAUCAUUUUUGCUUAAAUUUUUUAAAUAAAAUAUUUUUUUUUAAAUUUUAAAUUUAUCUUUCAAAAAUUUCUCUAAAAAUGAUAGUGCAAUGGAAUAGAUUAUAUUAUUUAUCUAAUAAAAAAUAAAGAAAAAAAAGAUAAUACCAUAGUUUUUGUGUUAUUAUACUUUAUUGUACUGCAUAAACAUAUUAUUGUAUUGUAGAAGGGAGGGUAUUCUUAGUUCCACAUUGGUUGUGAGUUAAGAAAAAAUUAUGAUUUAUAUAAGAGGGGAUCAUCUUUUCCAUAUGAGGUACUUUUUGAAUGACAAAAUCGUGAGGCUCAAAACGGCUCAUACAGUCUCCCAGACUAUAGGCUAUAGAUCAGAGCAGACAAUAUCUUACAUGUCGAGCCAUAAGCCCUUAAUCGUAGUAGUGGCCCGAAAAUAAGGGCACCACCAUCCAUAGAUUGUGGGGCUUCUUCCGUCUGAAGAUGACUAUCCUUCGCCUUUCGAAAGAUAAAAUUAUGAAGCCCAAAACGGCUCAUAUAGCCUUUGAACUGUAUGUCAUAGGUCAAGGCGGACAAUACCUCACAUACCAAGCUAUGAGUACUUGACCGCAAUAUACAUAAAAAUGACUUGAUAAAUUUUAGGAUAAAUUAUAGUAAUAUCCCUUAAUUUUAAUCUAAUUUUACUUAUACUCUUCAACUUUAAAAAAUAUCGAACUAGUCUUUCAAUUUUCAAAAUAUUUCAAAGUAAUCUUAUCAUUUGUUUACAAUAAAUGGUCUUGUGGAAGGUCUCAUGGAGGUCUCAUAGUCUUGUCAUUUACAAUAAAUGGAGAGAAACGACAGUGUUGAAGGUCUCAUAGGUGGGAUUGAAGGAGGAAAAGUGAGGAAGAAGGAGAGAGGGAAGGAGGGGUCACAAGUAGAUGUGGAGGUUUAGCCAUGGAGGGGGAGGGCUCAUAGACGAACUUGAAGGAGUAGGAGGAUGAUGAGGAGGAGAAAUAGAUGAGGAGAAAAAGGAGGAAGAAGGAAGAGUCAUUGACAAGGAAGAGACGGAGGUAGAGCAAACCAUCAUGGAGGCGAAGGGCUCAUGGACAGAUUUAGAAGAGGAAGAGGAGGAAGAAAGAGGGGUCACUGGUAAGAAAAAUGAUGAGAAGGAGAAGUGGAUAAGGAGAAGGAGAGAAAGGGAAGAAAAGGUUGCCAACAAGAAAGAGAUAGAAGUGGAGGGAAUUGCCAUGGAGAUGAAGGGCUCAUGGAGAGACUUAGAGGAGGAGGAGAAGUAGGUAAGGAGAAAGAAGAAAAGGGGGAAGGAGGGGUUGUCUGUGAGGAGGAAGGAGAGGAGGAAAAAGGAGGGAGGAGGGGAAAGGAUGACAAUAAGAAGAAGGGGGUGUUAAAAAAAGAGGGGAGGAAAAAAAAAAGAGGGAGGAGGGACGUCGGCAAUGGAGAUAGAGAAUGAGAGAAAUUAGAGAGAAAAGAAGAGGGAGGAGAUGAUGAUAAGGAUAUUUUGAUCAUGUUAUAAAAUGAAAAUAUCAUGUGAUAGUCAUGUGAUAUUAUUCUAUUAAUGAACAUGGAUGGUAAAACUACUUUGAAAUAUCUCAAAAAUUUGAAGGACUAGUUUGAUAAUUUUUAAAAUCGAGGGAUGCAAGCGAAAUUAGACUAAAGUUGAGGGAGUAUUUUUAUAAUUUAUCCUAAAUUUUAUAGUAUGAGAGUUAUAAUCUAUCUCAAAUCUUUAGUUUUAAUCUGGUAAUUUUAUUUUUUACUCGCAAAGUAGCAACAAAAGUGGGUAAUAUUUUACUUUAUAGAUAAGAAUAAGUUUGUUCUAUGAAAAAAUAAAAAGUGUUAUCCAAAUUAAAGAUACUUUCUCUCAAACAAAAACUUCGUAGACGACCAUCUUUAAUAUAUUAUACCAAUUUGAUGAAAGAAAAAAGAGAAAUUCCUCCAAUUUGCCCAAAUUGAUUCUUAAAAAAAAAUAAAAAAAAUCAAAAGCAAAGCUCUAGAGUUUUAUUUCUUUUGUUAAUUUCAUAAUAGAAUUAGUUGCAGUCCCUCUAUUUAUACUAGCAAGGCUAUUCGUUCUAUAUUUAGCCUAGAUUCUUCUACUAAUUAGAAGAAGUCAAAACUUUCUCAAAAUACUUGUAACUAAUAAAAAAAUUAUAAAAAAAACUAAAACCCUUUUAUAAUUGAAUUUCAACUUCUAUAUCAAUUUAACUCUGGCCAUCUUAUCCAAUUCUUCACAAAAUAUGAAUUACAGCUGGUCAAGGUCCUUUCCAAAUAAAAAAAUUUUAUAUUGAGUGGUCCAUUUGAAGGCCUAAAUAUCAUUUUAAGAUCCCAAUUGAUAUAGUAUCAUAGAUUUUGAAAAGUUAUGUCCAUCAAACAUUGUGAGGAGAGUUAUGGGUAUUGAAAAUUUUGACAUGUAACUUAGCUUCCAAUGUGCUGGAUCUUAUUCUUAGAUCACGUCCAAACCCAUCUAACAUGAUGGCUGGAGUAAUUCACAAUGGAUUUGUUAAUCCUCCAAGAUCAUAUAUAGAAGAGCUGCAUGCAAUAUAUUGUAUCAUGUUUAAUCGCAAACCAUAAGUCGCAAGAGAAAAAUAGAGUUAAUGAAGAUUCCAUUAGUUUCGAUGAAAAGAGAUUUCACCUGCCCUUCUGCUCUUAGUUCUCCCUUCUAUUGCUUUUGACAUCUUCGACCAAACCAUCACCACCUUCAGGGGCUAGCAUUGCUAGAGAACUAGAACUAUCAAAAUAGAUCAGGACCCAUGGGCCAGUCCAUUUGGCCCUAAAAAUGGGUCAGAUCGGGCUGAGAAAUUUUGGCCCAUUUAUGAAAGUGAAUUUUUUGAUCCGGCCUAUGUAGCCCAUGGGCUGAACCAAGUUAAGAUCGGAUCAGCCCGUGGGCUAGCCUAUACCCACAGCCCUCCACCCCUCCCCUCAGUCUCCUGGACCAAUCCCUAGCACAGUUGCCCCUUUCCUCCCCCGCCUCUCCUCACCCUUUAUCUCUCCCAUCAUAUCCGCUUUCGUCGCUGCCCCCUCCUUCUGCAGCCCCACCCCCCCUCCUCUCCUUCUACAACCUCUGCUGCCACCGCCUCCCAGCCCUUUUAAGCAACCCUGCAGUUGCCCUCCCUUCCCUUCUUUCCCUCCUUCAUCCCCUUCUCAACUUUCACAAGUUCGCCGAUGCCCAAUCCCUUCUCUUUUCCUUCAUCCCUCUCAACCGCCCUCGUUUUCUCCACCGCCACCUCCUCCGCCCCAAGCACCCCUCGUUGAAGGCCCUCCUCGACACUGCAGUCUCCUCCUAUGCUCGUGGCUUGCCUCUACCAGCCCCACCUCGCUGAGCAGCUCUUCCCGUCCAUGAAGCACCACCGCCUCCGUCCCUCCCUCGACACCACGAAUAUCCUACUUGACGCCCUCAUCCUCGACGCCCUCUCCGUCCCCCAACUUCACUCCCUCUCCCCCGCCUCUGUCCCCCUAAUCCGCUCACUAAACUGAAAUGGGUUGGUCCGACCCUGAUCCACAGCCCACGUGGGCUAGGGCUGGGUCGGGUUUUUACGGCCCAUUUUAACAAUUUUUGACAGCUCUAUAGAAAAGUCCGGCCUGAUCCAUUUUGAUAGCUCUAUAGAGAAUCGAUAUUUUCCUUGUGAGGCACGAAGGGUCUCGUUGGAGGAGAAGCCAUAAUAAUAAGAUCAAUUAUGAUGCAUAGAAUAAUGGAACAGGAAACAAAAGAAUGCUUGUUAAUCUCUACACAAUCUUGUUGCUGUUAUAUCUUUCAACGAGUGACCAUCAUCUAUGAACUUAAUAGGAGGUGGAUUUAAAUUUUUGUAGCUCCAAGAAAAAGAAAACCUUAACUCAACAUGUAUAGCCUUACCCAUCAUAAAACUUUAUCUAUAUGUAUGUCAAACUCAUAUUCCUGCAUAGUCCAUCCAGACUUAUCCCUAAAUAAAGAGUAUUUUUUUCGAAAAAAAUUAAUUUGAUUCGUUAUAUUUUAUGACUAAGGCUUCAAAUUUAGAUUUUAUAAGACAUGAGUAGUUGCUACUACAUAUAUAAAGUCUGACACCCACCUCCCAAUUGGGCCUUGUGUCUUCUAGCUGUUCAUCCUUUAUUUGGGGAUAAAUUAGGCCUUUGCUCCCUUCAGGGCUCAUUUUGGGUGCUAAAUAUGGCCGUGCAAUUUGUGCUCGUCAAAGUUGGACUUGGCCCCCAUUGAUCGGGAUACGAAGAACUGGCUUGGUGGUAACCAUGAGGCUUGAAGCCAUGCAGCUUAAUCUAUGUAAUUGCCAUUACUGGCAUUAGGGUUGGAAGUGAUAGUAAAGAGAAAGAGAAAAAAAUUUUUAUCCUCUAUUUAAAAAUUUUUAAAAAGUCAAAUAAGAAGUGUGAAGUUUUUUAUCAUUCUGACAUCGAGCUAUUUUUUCACAAGAUCUUCCCUGUAGUAUUAUCAUCGUAAUAGAGUUUAACCAUCAAAUUCAGAGUGGAUUUAUGUAGUUCCUCUAUGCUUAAGACAUCAGAAUAUCGAAUCGUGAAUGAAGAAAGAUAUUGGAAAAAAGCAUAUUGGAUAGAGAUCGUGAGGCUCCAAUUCUUGACUAGAAGAGAUACCAAAUUAAAGCCUCUACCCUUUCAUCCCUCGGAUAGAUAGAAAUUUUUAUCCCCCCUUUUUUCUUUUUCCAAUCUCCCUCUAUAUUAGUCACAUCUAUAUUUAUUUAAAGAAAGAAAAUACAACAUCAGUAAAUGUACCCAUAUUUCAUAGAUCAAUCCAAUAUCACCAUUUUUAUUUUCACAAAAAAAUGUAAGUUACUCCAGCACUCUAGGGGUCUAACAAUGUGCCUUUCUAUGUGAAACUAGUUUAUAUGUUAACAUCAUUUGGCCCUAAUGCCUCUCUUAUAAAGGCAAGCAAUGAGUACUCUUUGAUGCUUUAUUGGAUGUGGGGCGAAGGUAAUAUAUCUUCAAGCAUGUGUCCAUGGCUGUCAAUAAGAUACCUUCAGAUUAUUGAAGUUAGGGAAAAGAUGAUUUUUCAAUUUCAAUUAACUCUAAAUUGCAUUCUUUCGAUUGUGCCUAAUCUAGACAAAUCUAGUGCACAUCACCUAUCAUGCAUGAGAAUGCUUCAUUAGUUUGACUUUGAACCCUUAAAUUUCAUAACUGAGCCAUAAAAUGACUCUUUGAUGGGCUCACUCUUUUGGUUUUUGAGAACAUGGGUUCACUUACUUCCACCACUUUGUAUAUGGCUGACAAAGACAUGAGAUUUAGUUACUAUGUAGCUUCCAUUCCAUUCCUCUCCAAUUUUUUACAGUAGGAGGAAGCAUGAAUGGAAUUAUCAGGACUCUUUCUUGCCUCCUUGAGUGGUAGAAGACUGUGAACUUGCCAUCUACAAUAAAGAAAGGAAACUUGGUGAUUUUGGUUGAGAGAAGUCCCUGUACCAAUUUUGUUCAAUAUUUCACCAAGAACAGAAUGAAGGUACGUAUCAUGUCCUUUGAAAACCCAUCUUUUAUGCUAGCUUGGAACUACUUUGUCAUCACACUAAGAAUAUAAUCAAGAUAUGCUUCCAUCAUAAUAUUUUUGCAGGUGAUUUCAUGCAGAAUGUGUUAGAAAUUAAUUCUUAUCUAGAAAUCAUUAUCUUCUUUUUGUUGUUAUGAUUUUAAAAUCAAGAUUAUAAAAGAAAAAAUUAAAAAUAAAAUAUGAAUAUUGAAAAAAGUUUCAAAAUCAAGAUUAUAAAAGAAAAAAAUUGAAAAUAAAAUUUGAAUACUGAAAAGAGUUUAUCUAAAUUGAGUCAAAGCACCAAUGAGUGAGAGUGAAAUCGGAUAUAUCCCAGAAGAGUCGUGAUGCUUCGGAAGAUAACAUUUCCGAUGUGAUGCAAACUCGCCAUGCGAUGUGCAUAGCACCGUCGAAAUGGGCAUGCGCAUUUCACCAACCGACUUCCCUCAAAAUCUAGCUUGGGCUUCUUAGGAAAUGAUUUCUAAUCAAGCAAGAGUACUUGCUUUUACGUACACAUGAAGUGGGGCUAAAAUAGAAAAUAGUUUUUAAAAUAUUUGAAACUUGUCAGAUAGGGGAUAAGAUUGGUUUUAUUUUUAAAAGUUAAAUCUUUUAUAAGUUAAAACUCCAAGCGAAUGUUAUUAGAUACCCAUUUAACCUCUAUUAAGGCCAUUGCCUUCAAAACGAUUUGCUUCUCUUAUGUCAUCAAAAUCUCUAACCACAUAGGAGGCAUUUGGUAUAGGAUGAUUCAUUGAAAAUAAAAAAUAAUAUAGAUAGAAGUGAUGAGAUCACUAUAUUGACGUGCAAUAUAGUAAUCCUAUAUAGCAAUUGUUGGGAUAUACCGACCGAUCUCUUUCACGCCGACUCACCCUCGGGCCCAUCUGACCGGCGCCCGACUCUACCGACUGCACCAACCGACGACUGUCGACACUGUCCGAUCGAGGAUAUGUCGGUCGGACGGACUCAUUCUAUUCCCGACUAGCCGAACGGCGGAGCCCGACUCUACCGACUCACUGUCAGGCGGGGAUGGUGGCCGAUGUCCGAUUCCUGCAAUGCGCUAGACCAGCCGACGGUGUCCCUGGAUCUUCACCCGAUAUCCCACAACCAAAUGCCGAUGUAUGGUCAGUCGGCUCUCCCAAAUGCCGUACGACUGCUGAGGGCCGCCGUCCUGACAAGGGCAUGCAGCAUAGCCACUCUGGGACAUUGUCCUGCCAAGGACAUAGAUUAAUCCCAGCGAUUUGACAAUCCACGGCGACUUGACAGUCCGUGGCGACUUGACAGUCCGUGACGACUCUGACAACCUCUGGCGAUUUGACAACUCUCCCAGUAGUCUGCACCAUUAAUAACGGCACCAUGCCGCGCUCUACUAUAAAACGGGAAAGGCAACAGUGCUGCGAGGAGGUUUUUUCGAAACCCCUGGACUCAUUCUCUCUCUCUCGUUGAGUUUUCCUGAUUCUUUUCUACUGUUGCCUAGUCUCCUCCCUGACUUGACUGUCGGAGGGUCCCUGCCGGAGGUAUUUUCGGUCAGUGUGGACUUCUCUUGCAGGUGCUCGUUCCCGACGACCAGGCGACGAGGGGAUUGGCCGCAACAGGUUUGGCACGCCAGAAAGGGGUCGUCCGACCUCCACAUAGCUUGAAAAAAUCUCUUUCGAAAUGACAAGAACUAGGGCUCAGCGAUCGAGGGCCACCGGAUCGGCGAGGCACUCUUCCCGCCGGAAAGAGGCCUCUCCUCCGCCCUUCAUGGCGGAGCCCAGCUCUCCGCAUCCUGUGGUGACCACGGAGGUGCAAAUCGCGGUGAUUGUGUGGCAGAUGACUGUGUUAACGGAUGCAGUCAAGAGCCUACAACAACAACCAACCCGGUUGUCGCACUCGUCGGUGGGGCAACCGACGGCGCACCCGAUGCCCUCCAGGAGCAGCCGCCGACGUCCACGUCGGUCUCCGUCUCCUCCUCAGGAGCAGCUGUCACAGCACUCCCACCGAGAGGGGGAGAGGCAGACACGGCAUGAUACCCAUCGAUCCCGACGACCCUCUCCUUCCCAGCUGGAACGAGCGAGGAAGGAGAAGCGGCUGCGGACACCGUCCUCCUCCCCCUCA
rnacentral:lncRNA from 1 species